rnacentral:rRNA from 1 species
UACAGAGGUCUCAAGCGGUGUUCGGAUUCAUUGGGCGUAAAGGGUGCGUAGGUGGUUGGGUAAGUCAAAUGUGAAAUCCCGGAGCUCAACUCCGGAACUGCAUUCGAUACUGCCCGGCUAGAGGAUUGGAGAGGAGACUGGAAUUCACGGUGUAGCAGUGAAAUGCGUAGAUAUCGUGAGGAACACCCGUGGCGAAGGCGGGUCUCUGGACAAUUCCUGACACUGAGGCACGAAGGCCAGGGGAGCAAACGGG